GCAGGGUUAGUCUAGUGGUUAUGAUUUUUCCUUUACAGGCUCGGCUUGAGCGGAAACGGUCCUGGGUUCGACCCCCAGACUCUGCA